AUGCAAGAAGGAAGAUGUUUCAUCAUGUUGACCACUAUAGAUUUGAAGUCCAGUUCUGGAGCACUUGAACAUGCGAGGAUCUUUGGAUCUUGGAGACAUAUACAGGUGCUUUCGUUAUAUGCACACUUCCUUUCAUGGUCCAAUCUUGGAUAUUACUUGAGUAUCUUAGUGUCAUGUGGAAGAAUGUCCAACUUAGGGGCAGCCAUGUGGAAGGAUGUCCAACUUAGGCGCAGUCAGGGGUUGGUUCCAACCAGCUUGAACAGUUCGAUAUGCACAGUGAAGGUUUUGGCUCUCCAGUUUGCUUGCACUGAUUUGAAUGCAGUUCUUGACGUCCUCAGGUUUUUCCCCUGCUUGGAAAUACUUUAUGUUAUGUGGAACAAAUACUUGAAAGCAGAGAUGAACAAUGUGCGUCAUUGUGAUCCAAUAACUCCAAUCAAAUGCCUUGAGACCCAUCUAAAAAAACUAGUGUUGAAGAAUUACACAGGCGACGAGCAAGAUGUUAGCUUUGCCAAGUUCUUUGUUCUGAAUGCGAAAGUGCUACAUGAGAUCAAAUUUGGCGUUAGUGAGAAGUUCGACAAGAAAUGGGUGGCUGAUCACCACAGGUUGCUAGGAGUGGAAAGUGAAGCUUCUCCAGAGUUCGAGUUUAAACAUUGUUCGUACUGUUUGGAUCUCUAUUUAGAUCCCCAUGACUUGUCAAUUGCCGAUCCCUUCAACAACUCUUUUCUAGCUGAAGACCAUACUCUUCCAGUGAUAUCAAUAUCAUGUCCUUCCAGUUCUGACGAGGAUAGUAACUGA
rnacentral:rRNA from 1 species